GCUAUCCGAAUGGGGAUUUUUGGAAAGAUGAAUACGACAAGCAUGGAACAUGCACCGUUAAAAAAUUUCGUACACCUGUCGAGUACUUCCAGAAGGCAAAUGACUUGUGGGAAGCCAACCCAAUAGAGGAUUGGUUUCGGCGUGAUGGUCGCUUCACAGAUACAGAUGUCCAGCUCGCUGAGCUGAGAGGCGCGAUCAUGAACAAGUUCGGUUCUGUGCCAUGGUUUCAGUGUGAGGACAAAUUUGUGCGGCAGAUAGGCUUGUGUUUUGAUGAGGUUGGAGGGUUGGGUGCGAAUUGUCCUAAAGAAUAUCAAAAGAAGCAAUGCCCCCCUACUAUACAGUAUAGAUUGUAGGUGGUGUAUUCCAUGCACCUACAGUGUGUGUUGGGAUCAGGCCCAUGCGUGGCUCAAUUAAUUUAAGUACAUGUAGACAACUUCUGAGUAGAUAGAAGUCUCCACCUUGUUGUGAGGGGCGUUCCUAUAUGUAUGCUACUGCUCAUUUUGAGCCAUCUAAUAAUAAUUCAGUUUAAAUUUCCUUGCUUUCCUUUUGCUUUAAUUAUUAUUGUAGAGCUGAAUCAGAGCAACCGAUGCGUGGCACGCAAAAUCAACAGCCCUCCCCUGCCACGACCGGCGGAGCAAUCCGAUCCCACCGCUACCCCAACCACCACCCUCCUCCUCUACCAACACUAGCACUAUUUCCAGAGACCACUUUGCCACUUUCCAAGCCUCUGUGGACGUGCUCCAAUCGCACUGCACUUCUCCCCUCGUUUUUUUGAAAGAGCUUAGAAAAUUACGGGAGAAGCUUGAGCCUGAUCUUCCUUGGGCGAGAGGAGAGUACAGCGAAUCCAACACACUAUUAUUGGAUGGUUCUCCAUAUAAGGCUUUGCUCAAUCCGGCCAUAUUCCCCGAUUCGUAUCAGUUCAGGAACAGAGAAGAUUCUUCAUUAGUCCUGUUCAUCGCAGGACCUGGAGGCAAUAUCCGUUCUUACCUGGAAUGGUUAGCUAUGGCUGAGAGUGUCCAAAAAUAUGUGGAACAGAAUCCAUUUGGUCAGCAACCCAUAACAAAAUUAAAUCCUUCUUGGAACUUCUAUAGGAGAGUUAUAGGGGAUGUAGUACUCCUGAGAUGACUCGGCCUUUUUUCAUGCUUGGAUCGUUGGACCCAUCGAUGUUUUGCAGUUCCAUACCAUAUGUGCUGCUGAUUAUUAGUCAUUUCGGGGACUGUUGAAGCUACUUGUGAAUCCUCUGAACACACAGUUAUCUGAUUGAAGGUCUAGCAUAGUGAAGCAGUUGUCAGCAGGACUGUUGCGUUGGGAUGUUUAGCUCUUUUUAUAUAUAAACAGUGGUUCAACUGUCAAAGGCACUAGUUCAUGUUGUCCAUUUGCUCUUUGAUAUUUUCUGUUUAUUCCUAUAGCAUAAAGGAGAUCUUAUGAUUAGCUUGAUUUGUUUCUAGGCUUGCCAUCUGUUAUGCUUUUUGUCCAAGGAGCUAUUGGGAGAUUUUGAGGCAUAUGUAGAGAUUUUCAUUCCAGUAAGUUUAUUAUUAUCUUACCAAAAUAAUCCUUAAAAAAGGAAGGGGAAAAGAAAGGUAAAAAUCCUCAAGUGAUAAAAAAGCGGUACUCUAAUUUAUCGUAUGUAACCAGCUCCUUUUCAAGCUGGUUGUGAUCACUGUACUUGUAAUUCAAAGUCUGCAGAUGACUGCAUAAAAACGGUAAUUACAAUUCUAUUGAUCCUUUUACUUUCACCUUUACCUUUGUUUUUUAAGUAGAAAAUCGUUCGUUUAGCAAAAAGUAUCUUGCAUUUCUUCCUUUCUGAUUCCCAGAUGCUGCGUAACUGUAAAGUUGCUCAGGUGCUCCCUCAUAUGCGGAUUGUGCAAAGAAUGACCGUGAUGCAAUACUUUGGGCAAGGUGCUGUGACUGUGCACUGUUGAUACUAGAGUAUUGGCCGAUGAACCUGAAAUACAGAGAUGGCAGAUUUGUAUGAAGAUCUAAUAAGAUGUUGUGUUGCAGAUGCAAUGAGCGAGGUCCAUUCAACUGCAAGAAUGUGCUAUAGAAUGUUUUCUAAAACCUGGCCAGAGUGUUCCCGACGACUAUUUUCACUAUUUGAUUCCGUUAUUCAAAGGUUAAUCAAUGAAGAGGAUGGGGGUAUCCACAGGCAACAUGCUUCUCCAUCUGUUCAUGAUAGGGGUACACCAGUCUCAUUUACUCCCCAGCCAUCUGCUUCUGCUAAUCUACCUGGAUUUGGAACUUCGGCUACUGUUGCAAUGGGUAGAAGUUCUAGUUUAUCCUCUAGGACUUCUUUCUCUUCAGGACUUCAUCUGUCACAAGCGAAGUUACAUGGAAAAGGUACCGAGCGUAGUCUGGAAAGUGUGUUGUAUGCAAGCAAACAAAAGGUCAGUGCAAUUGAAAGCAUGCUUAGAGGUUUGGAGCUGUUUGACAGAAAUAAUUCUUCAACUCUCUGGUCAUCUAGCCUGGAUCUAGUGCAGGAGUUGACCCUCCAUCAUCUCGUGAUCCACCAUUCCCUGCUGCUGUCCCAGCUUCUAAUCAUCUUUCAAACUCUCUAAUAACAGAUUGAGCCACCUCAAGUAACAAAGGUAGUAACCGCAAUGGUGGCCUGGUUUUGUCUGAUAUCAUUACACAAAUUCAAGCUUCCAAAGAUUCUGCUAAAUCAUUAUAUUGCAGUAAUUUAUCAGCUGAAACACUGCCAACUGUUUCAUCCUACAACAUAAAGAGGGCUUCUCAGAGAAUCCACGAAAUGGGUUUCAUUGAAGAGAGUACUGACAGUAGGGAGGCUAGCGAACUAUGAAUCAUCAAGCUGACAGGCAUUAUAUGGACACAUCUCACCCCAGGGGGGCUUUAGGAAUUCACAUAAUAACCAUAUCCCCAAUUUUCAGAGGCCCCGCUUAAGAAGAAUGUGACAGGAAGGAUAUAUGCAGGCAGGAGGAGAGGUUUUGAUGAUAGCCAGCACUUACAGGAGAUGUCAAAUCAUGCAGAAGGUCCAGCAUCGUUCAAUGAUGCUCUGAGCGAAGGACUGAGUUCAUCUUCCGACUGGUCAGCUAGGGUUGCUGCAUUUAAUUAUCUUCGGUCUUUGUUGCAGCCAGGCCAAAGAGGAAUUCAGGAAGUGAUUCAGAAUUUCGAGAAAGUAACAAAGAUGUUUUUCCAACACUUGGAUAAUCUGCACCACAAAAUUGCACAAGCAGCCCUUUCAACUCUUGCAGAUAUUAUCCCAUCUUGCCAUAAGCCCCUUGAAAGUUACAUGGAAAGGAUCCCACCUCAUGUUUUCUCACAGUUAGUUGACCCAGAGGAGUUAGUUAGGCAACCUUGCUCAACAACUUUGGUCAUCGUUGGCAAGACUCCCUGUUACCUGCUUUGCUUCCUUCACUAGGGGAACAGCGGUCAUCAAAGGCUAAAUUAGCUGUUAUUGAGUUUCUAUCGGUUCAUUUAACAUGCAUUCAGUAUUCACUGGUUCUGGUAAUAGUGGCAUCCUGAAGUUCUGGUAAUAGUGCCAUCCUGAAAUUUUGGCUUCUGAAGUUGACACCAUUGGUCCAUGAUAAAUACACUAAACUAAAGGAGGCAGCUGUUGCAUGCAUAAUCUCUGUAUACUCCCACUUUGAUCCAACAUCUUUCUUGAAUUUUAUUCUUAGCUUGUCAGUUGAAGAACAAAAUUCUUUGAGAAGAGCCUUGAAACAAAGUAUUCCUGGCAUCGAAGUGGACCUUAUGAACUUUAUGCAAAACAAGAAGGAGAGACAGCGCAAGUCUUCUUAUGAUCCGUCCGAUGCAGUUGGAACAUCUUCCGAAGAAGGAUACGUUAGUGCCUCAAAGAAGUCAUUUCUUUGGGAGGUAUUCUACUGGUUCAGUUGAUAGUGAUGGUGGCAGGAAGUGGAGUUUAACCCAAGAAACAGCCUUGGUCACUGGCUUGGUUGGCCAAGCAGCUUCUGAUCAGACUGGGGAAAACUAGUAUCAGAAUUUUGAGAUUGGUUCUAACAUUGAUGUUCUUAAUGCAAAACCCAAGGAUCCAAUUUACAUGAUUAGUGCCAUGAAUCAGAGCCCUGGUUCGUGGACUAGCCUCUGGACAAUGGCGAUGGUAGAGAAAAAUUUAGAAAGUUUGCGUACUCAUUCCCUGGAUGUUAAUGGGGUUUUGAACUGACCAUAUUGGGGCUGCUGAGAGCAUUGUGCAUAGUGUAGCUGCCACUGACUUGGACCAGAAUCACCACCUACUUAAAGCUUGAAAGGUUAAUUCCAUUCCAGACUUUGGUCCCAGCAUUCCUCAGAUACUCCAUCUGAUUAACACUGGAACUGAGGGAAGUCCUGCAGAAAGUAAGCAUGGUGCGCUUCAACAGCUAAUCGGUGCUGCUAUAACUAAUGACCACUCUAUUUGGACCAAGUAACUAUGCAGUACUGCAAUGAAAUUUUGACAGUUGUACUUGAGAUGUUGGAUGAUUUUGACUCCUCCAUCCGGGAGCUCCCUCUUUCAUUGAUUAUUGAAAGGCUUAAGAACCAGAAAGCUGCAAUGGAAGAUUCUAUUGAGAUCAUAAUUGAGAAGCUGAUGCAUGUUACAAAGGACUUAAUUCCCCAGGUUGCAAAUGAAUCAGAGCACUGCUCGAGUAUUGUUCUGUCGCUUUAUGAUCCAUUCAGAUGUUUAAGUGUAUGUAUCCAUUCCGGUUCUCCACCCAGCCUUGCGAAAUUUUUAUCAGCACUGAGUAAAAGAAGUCAUUGGCUGAACACUAAUAUGAAAACAUUAGAAAAAUUUUGUGUCAACUUUUGGCUGUGUUUGGUAAACCUUUAACGGUGAUCCUCGAAUUUCGUCGGAUAGUGACGGAAGCACUUGUUGAAGCUCAUUUUCAAGACUGAUCAUCUGUUUGACGAACUAGUGUCCAAAGAUCUGUUGGCACGUGGCUGUUGCAGGUAGGGCAACAUGAUUCGAUGUUGGUAACACGACGCAUAUUGUCCACGUGGUUGGAAGAAGUACUUCGCUUUCGAGUCGUGAAGUGGAUGCAUUAGCCAAGACGGCGUCAUAAACGAAUAUGUAACGAACUCGGGUGCACUAUGAGAAAAUUCGUAAAGUGUUGUCAUGUGGAAAUUCGUGGAAUAACUUUUAGAAAUCGGCUGUUAGGUUC